AGCUUUGCGCAGUGGCAGUAUCGUAGCCAAUGAGGUUUAUCCGAGGCGCGAUUAUUGCUAAUUGACCUUGUUUAGAUUCUAAUUCAAACAGUCAACUGUUAAAAAAAAAAAAGUUCAUUAGAUGCUAUUAAGGAAUUAUUACACGUUGUUGUAAGAUAA
rnacentral:snRNA from 1 species